rnacentral:lncRNA from 1 species
GCUAAAUAGGAAAAGAUAAAGGUUGUGAAAGCAGAGUUUUGAAAGAAACUUCAGAAAAUGUUUAAGAAGUUUGGAGAAUACACAGAUCCACAACGGAUAUAAAAGAAUCAGGAAAACCACAAAUGGUAGGGUACAAUACGAACCCCAAAUAGUGAGAAAGGCUUAGAAAGUCAUGAUUUAAGCAGGAGACAUCAAGACCACACUUAAACACCCAUGAUUGGCCGUAGCAAGGUCGGAGACAACCAAAGAACUCGAAUCAAAGAAUGUCUGGGCCAAACCUCUUCAAGGUUUGACCUUGAAAUCAUGGUAAUCAAGUGUGUAGGUGGCACAUGAGGUAGAUACAUGCCAUCAAUGGCUAUGGAAGCCAUGUAUUUUAUCAAUUUUAGGUGGUGAUUGAAGGUUGCGGCUAUGGUUUCUGAGAUAGGUUGAGAGAGAAUUGGGAGAUGGGGGAAUCAAGGGUCG